GGUAACGGCUCACCAAGGCGACGAUCCCUAGCUGGUCUGAGAGGAUGACCAGCCACACUGGAACUGAGACACGGUCCAGACUCCUACGGGAGGCAGCAGUGGGGAAUAUUGCACAAUGGGCGCAAGCCUGAUGCAGCCAUGCCGCGUGUAUGAAGAAGGCCUUCGGGUUGUAAAGUACUUUCAGCGGGGAGGAAGGGAGUAAAGUUAAUACCUUUGCUCAUUGACGUUACCCGCAGAAGAAGCACCGGCUAACUCCGUGCCAGCAGCCGCGGUAAUACGGAGGGUGCAAGCGUUAAUCGGAAUUACUGGGCGUAAAGCGCACGCAGGCGGUUUGUUAAGUCAGAUGUGAAAUCCCCGGGCUCAACCUGGGAACUGCAUCUGAUACUGGCAAGCUUGAGUCUCGUAGAGGGGGGUAGAAUUCCAGGUGUAGCGGUGAAAUGCGUAGAGAUCUGGAGGAAUACCGGUGGCGAAGGCGGCCCCCUGGACGAAGACUGACGCUCAGGUGCGAAAGCGUGGGGAGCAAACAGGAUUAGAUACCCUGGUAGUCCACGCCGUAAACGAUGUCGACUUGGAGGUUGUGCCCUUGAGGCGUGGCUUCCGGAGCUAACGCGUUAAGUCGACCGCCUGGGGAGUACGGCCGCAAGGUUAAAACUCAAAUGAAUUGACGGGGGCCCGCACAAGCGGUGGAGCAUGUGGUUUAAUUCGAUGCAACGCGAAGAACCUUACCUGGUCUUGACAUCCACGGAAGUUUUCAGAGAUGAGAAUGUGCCUUCGGGAACCGUGAGACAGGUGCUGCAUGGCUGUCGUCAGCUCGUGUUGUGAAAUGUUGGGUUAAGUCCCGCAACGAGCGCAACCCUUAUCCUUUGUUGCCAGCGGUCCGGCCGGGAACUCAAAGGAGACUGCCAGUGAUAAACUGGAGGAAGGUGGGGACGACGUCAAGUCAUCAUGGCCCUUACGACCAGGGCUACACACGUGCUACAAUGGCGCAUACAAAGAGAAGCGACCUCGCGAGAGCAAGCGGACCUCAUAAAGUGCGUCGUAGUCCGGAUUGGAGUCUGCAACUCGACUCCAUGAAGUCGGAAUCGCUAGUAAUCGUGGAUCAGAAUGCCACGGUGAAUACGUUCCCGGGCCUUGUACACACCGCCCGUCACACCAUGGGAGUGGGUUGCAAAAGAAGUAGGUAGCUUAACCUUCGGGAGGGCGCUUACCACUUUGUGAUUCAUGACUGGGGUGAAGUCGUAACAAGGUAACCGUAGGGGAACCUGCGGUUGGAUCACCUCCUU
rnacentral:rRNA from 1 species